rnacentral:lncRNA from 1 species
ACUCGGUCAACCUGGCACUCCAGGAGCUUCACCUUCCUCUCAGCCAUCUCAGGGAACUCAGCUCAGUGUUUGAAAGCUCUGCCUCCAUUUAUGACCCUCCCUGAUUCCAGUGAGGAGCUGGAACUGCUGUUGACCUCAGGAAUGACAGAAGUAUAUGCUGGGGUUGGAGGGUUUCUGGCAUAUGACCUGCUAACCUAGAAUUUGCUUGGCAAAGUCCAGAGGAUGACUUUUAACCUCAGAGCAGUUUGCAAAACCACAUCUGUGACCAAUAAAUGUGAAAAAUAAAUGAAAAAAUAAAUCUAGCCCCUACUGAAGGAUGAAAGACAGCACACCUUGCUGGGCACUGGUGCUGAAAUCAGGAUGGAGAUUGGGAAUAAUUGGACAGGCCAUGUGCCAGAUGUUGUCCAUGAAUGGAGCCAAUGCCUCACACAAGGGAGGCAGCACAGCAGGUUAAAGUGAAGGUAUCUCAUAGCUCUAAGACUUAAACUUAACGAGCCACGUCUUUAUUUGUGCUGCAGCCCCUUCUUAUCCCAAAUUGCCUUUACCAGCUGCCAGAGGAUGCCUGGUAACGGAAAAUUCUCUGGAUAACAAUAAAUUAGUGUAACAAUUGAGCGUCACCUCACAUCCUGCUAAGCAAUAGAGAAAUCACGAUGAGAAAAAUAGGCACGACCGGAGUGGCACUGAACAGUGCAAUCCUAAUUCCAUCACCCUUCUUGUGGGCGACAGAUAACCCAGUGCAAUUUACAGCCGCUCUGAAGCGGCUCCAAGUCUCAGCAGGAGUCGGGAAAGCUCCGUGUAGCCUCGGGACUGAGGAGUCACCAAGAUCAGGCGAGUUGUUGUUCCAUAACCUUGCCUCUGCACCAGAACCAGGGGGCUGGUUUGCAAUGGGAAGCACUCCAGGCAAAACACAAAAUUUUAAUCACCAAAAUGAAGGUCCUCCUCUGGCUCCCUUUCUGGAGAAUCGUCUGUCUCUGAUCAUCGUGCACAGAUUCCCAAAGAAGGAUAAAUUGCAGCUGGUUGCUGGUAAUCCUUGUGGCAUAUCAGAUAGCAGCGUAGCUCGGCGAGGGUAAGCUGGAGAAACCCAAACAUCCUUCUGAGGAGGUAAUUAUUCCAUUGUGAAAAUGCCCCGGGAUAUUUUUAGUGGCCAAACCCCCUGUUUCCUGACAGAAACAUAAAAUAAUGAAGCAAGCUUCACAAGGAGAGACGCCUCAGACACCUGUAUUAGCUGGUGCUUUGCAGUCACGUCAGCGUUUAAUUUGCUGUGUGCAUCCCCGCAUCCCUGUACAGCAAAAUCCACACCUGCGUUUGGGGCACUGCGCACUCUGCCAGCCUCUGCCUCGCAGGAAACCCUCUCCAUAAACAAAUCUGCAAAUCCCGCUGGAUCAAGAAGAAUUUCACGGGAAUAUAGAGCUGCCUGCAACAAGAGGGACACCCUUGCCACACACAGAGGUUAUCAAGGGAAACUUUCCUUAACAGGAGUCUCAUAACCAGCAUUAAAGCCUGGCUUUUUUUUGGAACAGAUUAUUUAAAUUUCGUUUAAAAAUGUUUUGCAACAUGUUUUGCAGGGGAUGUACCCAUGUUUCACAUCCUGCAGUGCCCCAGGGGUCAGGCUCUCUCCUGGUUACCUCCAGCCCUGGUCCCAUGUAAUUUAUGUCCUGAAAGAGACGAUUCAAUUAGUUAAUAGUAAAAUGAGCAAGGACACCGUGUGCAUUGUAAAAAUAUAAUUUAGUGGGAAACAAGCUGAGAUGGAAAAAAUAUCAGAGUACACUCCAUAUGAUUAAUGAAGGAGGAAUGUAUAUUUAUAGCUUUUAUUGUGUCCUUUCUAAGGAGACUGGAUCUGGCAGUAGGGCUGGAACGGGCUGGUAACGAUGCAGCAUUCUAGUGAUUUGGAUUUGAAUGGCAAAUGCGGUAUAAAACUAAUUACCCCCAGG